AGCAGCCGCGGUAAUUCCAGCUCCAAUAGCGUAUAUUAAAGUUGUUGCAGUUAAGAAGCUCGUAGUUGAACUUCGGGGUUAGCAGGUCGGUCGUGCCAUCGGUAUGAACUGGUCUCGCUGAUCCCUCCCUCUUGACGAACUGUGAUGCCAUUAAUUUGGUGUCGCAGGGAAUCAGGACUGUUACUUUGAAAAAAUUAGAGUGUUUAAAGCAGGCUCACGCUUGAAUACAUUAGCAUGGAAUAAUGAAAUAGGACGUUUGAUCCUAUUUUGUUGGUUUCUAGGAUUGACGUAAUGAUUAAUAGGGAUAGUUGGGGGCAUUAGUAUUCAAUUGUCAGAGGUGAAAUUCUUGGAUUUAUUGAAGACUAACUACUGCGAAAGCAUUUGCCUAAGGAUGUUUUCAUUAAUCAAGAACGAAAGUUAGGGGAUCGAAGACGAUCAGAUACCGUCGUAGUCUUAACCAUAAACUAUGCCGACUAGGGAUCGGAUGAUGUUAAUUUUUAAUGACU
rnacentral:rRNA from 1 species